ensembl:lncRNA novel transcript
GACGUAUCUUCAAAGUCAAAAGGCUGGGUUGAUUUCAGACACCUCAUGGAGAUAAAGGAUCCCGAUAAGACUUCUCAUGCCCUAAAGGUGAUGUUGAACCUCUGAUUCUGCUACAGUACUAAGAUUUAUUAUGUCACUGGAGGGCAGUGAAGAUAUGAUGUGACAUGAUGUACAGAGCAAACCAACUGGCCCUCUUGCAACUGGAACUCUUGAAUGGAACACUUGCUCUUGGAGUCCUGAGGGGCCAUUGAAGGUAUCCAACUACUCUGAGGCUCCCAUGCUGGAGAGAUCCCAGGUAAGUGCUCCAGUUGAGGGUCUCAGCUGACCCCAGUCUUCCAGCUGUCCUUGCCAAGGUGCCAGAUGUAUGAGAGCCCCUCCAGACCAGACCAUCUUUUAGUCCAGUGCCACCAAGUCAACUCUGUUGAUGCCACAUGGAACAGACGAACCACUCAGCUGUGCCCUGUCCAAAUUCCUGACCUAAAAAAUUCUGAGCAUGCCUGGAACUUUGAAUAAUGCAUCUGAAGAAUCUGCCCGCAUAGGUAAAAACAUGCUCCCUUCUUGUCAUUGAAUUUUAAGCUGUGGACACAAGUCUUAUGAGUUCAUCUAUAAACAUAAGCAUAGAAAGCAGUAGAAGCCACACCUGUGGUGAGGAGCUCUCCAUAUGGGGUUGCAGGUGCCAUGUGAGUCUCCAUGUGUGGUUGUGUUUUAAGCCCAGGAAGUGCUAGGAGUAAGCUGGAAUAAGCUAGAACUCACAGCUGGUUCUUCCACAUAGAGAAAUGAAGGAGUGGAAUCACUGGGGAUACCUCCCGCAAUAGGAAAGCCCCUUGAGAACUGAAACAAGUCAUCUGUUUCUCAGGAGGAGCUGACCAAGAGCCCCCUCCUUUCGUGUGAAUUUAAAUUCCCCUUUUCAUGAGACUUUUCUUAAAGACAAGGAAAAAAAGCUAUCAGGGGAAAAUGAAUAAUAUGACAUCGAAAGUAUUGAAAGGCUUGAAAUGAUCCCACAUGUGUCAUCUGACUUUGAGAGGUGAAGGGGCUCCCGUCUGUACGUAGAGAGGCUGGCGUGCUGCCUGGAUUACUUGUCUGAUGUCACAUGCUAAUGGGAUCCCAGCUAGAAUGCUGGCAACUCUGACUGUAACAACCUCAGACACCUUUGCGCACAGCUUCAGUUUCAAAUUAAUUUUCACAUCCUCCUUAGGAAACUGGGCCCUCCGUAAUCAACAGAACUCUGCAUCGCACAUCCUAACAUUGAAACUCACCUGAGCACAAGGAUCCUACAGUUCUCCUAGACAGACCUCAAGAACCCGCACAGACCCUCGGGGCACACUCCCCUGUGUGUUUUGGAACAAAUAGUCACUCUCUGUGUUUUCAAAUGUCCUUUGGCCUUUUGUCAAAUCCACACUGACCUCUUUUCAAAUGCGUGUGGUCAGUGUUAUUUUUCAAAGGCCCUUUGAAGUUUGCUUUGUUGCCUUCCCUCCCUGUGGGUCACAGAGCAAUUACUGGAAGAUUUGUGGGAGGCCGCUUUUGGCUUUGUGUACAUGUGAACGCCUGUUUAUAAAUCAGGUGAGUUA